AAUAUUGGACACUGGGGGAAAACCUGAUCCAGCCAUGCCGCGUGUGUGAAGAAGGUCUUCGGAUUGUAAUGCACUUUAAGUUGGGAGGAAGGGCGUCAAGCUAAUACCUUGAUGCUUUGACGUUACCCACAGAACAAGCAGCGUCUAACUCUGUUCCAGCCGCCGUGGUAAUACAGAGGGUGCAAGCGUUACUCGGAAUUACGGGGCGAAAAGCGCGCGUAGGUGGUUCAGUAAGAUGGGUGUGAAAUCCCCGGGCUUAACCUGGGAACUGCUUUCAUAACUGCUGAGCUAGAGUACGGUAGAGGGUAGUGGAAUUUCCUGUGUAGCGGUGAAAUGCGUAGAUAUAGGAAGGAACACCAGUAGCGAAGGCGACUACCUGGACUGAUACAGACACUGAGGUGCGAGAGCGUGGGGAGCAAAC
rnacentral:rRNA from 1 species